rnacentral:tRNA from 1 species
GCCUAGUUCGAGCGGAGGGUAGCGCUCCUGCUUUGUAAGCACUAGGCCGCGGGUUUGAUUCCCGCCCGGGGCG